rnacentral:rRNA from 1 species
AGGACGAACGCUGGCGGCGUGCUUAACACAUGCAAGUCGAGUGGUAAGGCUCCUUCGGGAGUACACGAGCGGCGAACGGGUGAGUAACACGUGAGCAAUCUGCCCUUCACACUGGGAUAACCCCGGGAAACCGGGGCUAAUACCGGAUGCAACCACCGACGGCAUCGUCUGGUGGUGGAAAGUUCCGGCGGUGAAGGAUGAGCUCGCGGCCUAUCAGCUUGUUGGUGGGGUCAUGGCCCACCAAGGCGACGACGGGUAGCCGGCCUGAGAGGGUGACCGGCCACACUGGGACUGAGACACGGCCCAGACUCCUACGGGAGGCAGCAGUGGGGAAUAUUGGACAAUGGGCGAAAGCCUGAUCCAGCAACGCCGCGUGAGGGAUGGACGGCCUUCGGGUUGUAACCUCUUUCACCCACGACGAAGCGAAGUGGCGGUAGUGGGAGAGAAGCACCGGCCAACUACGUGCCAGCAGCCGC